rnacentral:rRNA from 1 species
CCUACGGGUGGCAGCAGUGGGGAAUCUUGCACAAUGGGCGCAAGCCUGAUGCAGCGACGCCGCGUGCGGGAUGGAGGCCUUCGGGUUGUAAACCUCUUUUGUUCAAGGGCAAGGCACGCUCUUUGGCCGUGUUGUCUGCAUUCUUCGAAUAAGCACCGGCUAACUACGUACCAGCAGCCGCGGUAAUACGUAGGGUGCAGGCGUUAUCCGGAUUUAUUGGGCGUAAAGGGUUCGGAGGCGGUUUGUCUGGUCCGGUGUGAAAGUCCAUCGCUUAACGGUGGACGCGCGCCGGGUACGGGCGGGCUUGAGUGCGGUAGGGGGGACUGGAAUUCCAGGUGUAACGGUGGAAUGUGUAGAUAUAGGGAAGAACACCAAUGGCGAAGGCAGGUCUCUGGGCCGUUACUGACGCUGAGGAGCGAAAGCGUGGGGAGCGAACAGGAUUAGAUACCCUUGUAGUC